AUUAGGGUCUUAGAUAUUUACAUUUUAAGAUCAAUGAGGUCUUCUAAAAUCAUGAAAAAUCUGCCAAUUUGAUCAAAGAAAAAAUUUGGGAGAGCAUAUGAGGCUUUAGUACCUAUACAUCAGUAAAAUUGAUGAUCAAUUGAAUAGUUCAACAAAGAGAAAUUGCUACUAAAAAAUCAAAAUUUAAGUUGGAAAAGGAAGACAACCAACAUCCAAGAGUUUUAAGACCUUGUUCUUUCCAAUAGUAAGUUCUAUUUUUCUCAAAAUUUGUGUGCUUUUUAUUUGCAUAAAGAAUAAAAUAUGGUCAAAAUUAUAAUUAAAAUUAAAAAUUUAAUU
rnacentral:lncRNA from 1 species